rnacentral:rRNA from 1 species
AUUGAACGCUGGUGGCAUGCCUUACACAUGCAAGUCGAACGGCAGCACGGGAGCAAUCCUGGUGGCGAGUGGCGAACGGGUGAGUAAUAUAUCGGAACGUGCCCAGUCGUGGGGGAUAACGGAGCGAAAGCUGUGCUAAUACCGCAUACGAUCUACGGAUGAAAGUGGGGGAUCGCAAGACCUCGCGCGAUUGGAGCGGCCGAUAUAAGAUUAGCUAGUUGGUGAGGUAAAGGCCCACCAAGGCGACGAUCUGUAGCUGGUCUGAGAGGACGACCAGCCACACUGGAACUGAGACACGGUCCAGACUCCUACGGGAGGCAGCAGUGGGGAAUUUUGGACAAUGGGCGAAAGCCUGAUCCAGCAAUGCCGCGUGCAGGAUGAAGGCCUUCGGGUUGUAAACUGCUUUUGUACGGUACGAAACGGUGAGCUCUAAUACAGUUUGCUAAUGACGGUACCGUAAGAAUAAGCACCGGCUAACUACGUGCCAGCCGCCGCCGUAA